rnacentral:rRNA from 1 species
UACGUAGGGUGCAGGCGUUAAGCGGAAUUACUGGGCGUAAAGCGUACGCAGGCGGCUUUGCAAGACAGGUGUGAAAUCCCCGGGCCUAACCUGGGAACUGCAUUUGUGACUGCAUAGCUAGAGUUUGUCAGAGGGGGGUGGAAUUCCACGUGUAGCAGUGAAAUGCGUAGAUAUGUGGAGGAACACCGAUGGCGAAGGCAGCCCCCUGGGAUGUGACUGACGCUCAUGUACGAAAGCGUGGGGAGCAAACAGG